UUGGAAACAUAUUUCAUGAAAAUGCAUGUGCUUAUAUGUACUAAAUAUGAUAUUGCUUUACUUGUAUUUGCAUGCUGUUAACAUUUCUAUUUUAUUCCAGUGGGCUGUGGUGAGUAUUGCAGAUUUAACUUGUAUGUGUGGUUUUUAGUUAACGAUGCUUAAUGAAAACUGUUAUUGUACACUUAGUAUGGAAUGAUGUGAAUGAUGAUAUGAUGGGUAGAAUUAAUCAGUGCUUGUGUCUAGAAAUGCUGAAUGUUUAUUGAAAAGGCUAAAUGCUAGCCAGUACUAAGAGUUGAGCUACCGUGGGAAUGUGAAACGAACUGAUGGUGUAAUAUGAUGGUGUAUUGACAUACUUUUCUUAUAUGUACUAAAUAUGAUAUUGCUUUACUUGUAUUUGCAUGCUGUUAACAUUUCUAUUUUGUUCCAGUGUGCUGUGGUGAGUACUGUAGAUAUUACUUGAUUUUUAGUGUCUAUGAAUGCUGAUGUAUGAUAGCUAUAGCAUGAGCUCAAUGCUAACCAGUAUUAUGAGUUGAUGUAUUGUGGUGAUGCUAAUCGAACUGAUGAUGUAACAUGAUGGUGAACACUUACUGAAUGCAUAAAAUUUAUUGAAUUGCGUUUGUUGAUAUGCACUAUAAUAUGAUAAAUGUAUUGCUUAACAUGUAUAUUUCAUGAUGUUUAAUUUCAGUGGGCUGUGGUGAGUACUGUAGAUUGUAUUGCCUAUGUAUAGAAUUCAAUAAAAGAUUAUGACUGAAAACUGCUUUUGAUUCUUUUUGAACAGUUUUAGGGACUAUAAGUCUAUAACAAAAAUAUGUCGGUUGGCGUUCAUACAGCAAUGUUUUGAGUAGUACAGAAAUGUUUCUACGUUUGUGGUCGCCAGUUGUCUGUGAUGUGUAAAGUGAAAAAUACACGGAGCUUUGAAUACAACAAACAUUUACUGUUUUAACACAGAUUGUGUGCUAUGCAUUUUUCGAUGUAGAUCUUUUUCAGAUUUGACAUGAAAUGUAGACCUGACAUUUGAACAGAGCUGGGAAACGAAAAGGUAAGUUUGUUAAAUUUCACAAUGAACACUUGUGUUUUGACAAAAGAAGAGAUAAAGUGAGUUUUGUCAUCAUCAUGGUUUCUUUCAGAGUAUAACUCGUGAACAGAUGAAAACCUAUUUUUUGCUAGAUUUUCAUGUACUCUUUUUUUGGAUGAUAAGUAUGUCAGUAACUCAAAAUCAUACGGCUAGUACAGUAUGGAACAUGAAUGCUUUGUUCAGAUUUUCAGAUGUGUGCUGGCAGUUUAAGUCUGGCAGCUGAAGUGAACAGUCGUGUUUUCUGGAGCUCCAACAAUAUGCUAGAAGGUAAGUAACUAUGUUUGUUUUGCAUUGCAUGUUUUUAUAUGUUUCAGACUUUCAAGCAGAGAUGUCAUGCUGACUGGAGUUGAGCACAGGGCAGUGACAAAGUGAAAGGUAAGUACUUUUGACUGAAUGUUUGUUCUAUGCAUGUUUUGUUUCAAUACAUUUCAGGAGUGCUUAUCCAGUGAUGAUAUGACAGUUGGAGUGAACAGUGGAGCCAAGCAGUCUUGUUUUUGGAGCUACUCAACAAGCCUUGAAGGUAAGUUUAGAAUUUCUCAAUGUUAGUGAAUUGAAGUACUGUCACUUGCUUUUGGACAGUCGAACAGAACAGACGUGGUUGCGAGAGCUCUCAUAUCUGUUGUGUUAAACUGUUUUUAUGAUAUGUUAUGUUUGUUUGUUUGUUUGUGAUGUACUAUUUUUCAGAUGCUGAUGGCAGUGAUGGGUUUUCAAGCUGACCUGAACAGAAAAGCACUCAUAUGGUAAGUACAAAAUAGUUGUUAUAUGGGAUGUUUUGUGCAUGCUUUUAUGUUUCAGGUGUACUUGCUGACAGCGACGAAGACGAAUCAAGAAGAGGAACAUUGUUCAGAAAGUGAUUGGGACUUGCAAACAGGGUAAGUGUAACACUUGUGUUUGUUUAAUUUGUAACAUGCGUGCUUUGCUCUGUUUCAGAUUUCACAUGCAGAAAUUAAACAGGAUUUCAACUGCUGAGACACAAUUCAUCAAAAGUAAGGUAAGUUUUAAUUCAUUGAUUUGAGUUGUACAAUGUGUUCUUUACUUUAUUUCAGAUUCGAGUCACUGGUUUACACAUGGAAGAAGAUUUCCACGUCGGUUACUCAACUCUACAGAAGCAAGGUAAGUCGAUCAAAUUUUUGUUUUCAUUUGUACUGCUGUAAUGUGAUAGUAAACUUAUGCUAUUUUUCAUGUGUGUCAUGUACAGAUGGAUAAUUCAAGUUUGAUCUGUGUUGGUUUAUGUUCAAAAACGUUUUACAUGUAUGUGUGUUUGAAGAUGUUUUGUUUCAGUGGAUGUCCAGAUGGCAAGCAGUACAGACGUGUUUCUUGGAGCUGCCAAACAGUGAGUACAAACGUUUUAUAUUUUUCAGUUGUUUACUCAUAGAAGUCUGUGAAAGAUGAUAACAAGGGUUGAAUCUAUCAGUACUUGUGUCUAAAAAUGCUGAUGUGUGACGGUUUACUGAAAAGGGUAAAUGCUAGCCAGUACUAACACUUGAGCAACCGUGGGAUGUCGAACUAACUGAUGAUGUACUAUGAUGGUGAACACUUACUAUGUGUAUCGAAAUGCUUUUGUUGAUAUUUAUUAUAGAUGAUUUGAUAUUGGUUAACAUUUGUUUGCAUGCUGUUAACAUUUCUAUUUCAUUUCAGUGAGCUGUGGUGAGUAUUGUAGUAUACAUUUGUUUCAAUAAAUCAUGAUGAAUGAAAACUGAUUUCGAUUCUUUUUUACAGUUUUAGGGAUUAUCACUCUAUAACAACUCUGUCGGUUGGUGUUCGUGAAUGUGAGCUUAAUGUUUGAGUAGUACAAAAAUGUCUUUACUUUUGUGAUCGCCAGCUGUCUGUGAUGUAAAGUGGAAAAAACACAGCUAUAAAGCAUACAAUUGUUUCGAAAUUUUAUCAAUGAUUGUAUACUAUGCAUGUUUUGAUUUAGUUCGUUUCAGAUAUGACAUGACAUGAAGAGUUGACAGUCGAACAGAGCUGAGCAAUGCAGAAAGGUAAGUGUGUUUCAUUUUAGUAUGAACACUUGUAUUUUGUUUUUAUAUGGUAUGUUUUGUGCAUGCUAUGUUUCAGGUGUACUUGUAGUCAGCGACGAAGACGAUUCAAGAAGAGGAACAUUGCUGAGAAAGUGAAUGGGACAUGCAAACAGGGUAAGUGUUACAAUUGUUGGUUUGAUUUUUACCAUGCAUACUUUGCUUUACUCUGUUUCAGAUUUCACAUGCAGAAAUGGUCUCAUAGCAGUGCCAACAGUGAAUAAGGAUUUCAUCUGCUGUGAAACAACUCAACAGAAAGUAGGUAAGCAUUGAAUGAAUGCACUUGAGCUGUACAAUUUGAUGUGAUGCUUUUCUCUGUUUCAGAUUCAAGUUCCUGGUGUAGACAGAGAAAUGUGUUUGAAGAAGGAAUUCUACUACUGUGAUUCAACUCUACAGAAGCAAGGUAAGUAAAAACAAAAUUUUGGUUUAAUUUAACUCAUGUGUUUUGCACUGCAUGCUAUUUUUCAGGUCUCUCGUGCAGUGAUGGAAAAGAAGAAGAUUUCAAGAAAGAAUCACUGCUGCAACUCAGGCCUAUAACAAGGUAAGUGUUUACUAUAUUGUAUACAAAAUGUUUCUCUGUUUUACUCUGUUUCAGGUUUCAAUUGCAAAGAUGUUGCAGAGAUGUUUUGACAGCUUGAGACAGAAAAGAAAUUCAGCAGCUGUGUCUCGACUCUAGCCACGAGGUAAGUCAAAACAAAUAUACUGGUUUGUAUGUAAUGUUGUUAUGCCCUUCUAUGUUUCAGACUUACAUUGCUGUGACUGUUCCACAGUGGGUCAAAAAAGAGACGAAUACAGGUUUCAAGAAGAAAAUUGGCUGUUGAAAACCUGCACAAAAUAUGAGGUAAGUAAACUAUUCUUUUGGUUUGUUUUGUGCUUUGUUAUGCUUGACUAUUUUUCAGAUUGGAAUGGUGGGUCGUUACAGAGCAGACUUUUGGACAACUGAGAAGUUGAGAAACAGAGAAUGAUUCAAUAUCAGCUAGGUAAGUCUUGAUUAUUCUGCAUUGUAAAAUGUGUUUCUUUUUCAUUUCAGUAUGGCUGUGGUAAGUACACUAACUUUCUAUAAUUUCAUAUUGAACUGUUUUGAUGACUUGUAUUAUGCAUUGCUAAAUGUUUUUUUCAUUUCAGUAUCCUGUGGUAAGUACACUAACUUUCUAUAAUUUCAUAUUGAACUGUUUUGAUGAUUUGUAUACUGCUAUGCAUUGCUAAAUGUUUUUUUCAUUUCAGUAUAGCUGUGGUAAGUACACUAACUUUCUUUAAUUUUCAUAUUGAACUGUUUUGAUGACUUGUAUUCUGCUAUACAAAAUGUGCUUUUUUCAAUUUCAGGUCAGCAAUGGUAAGUUUAUUGUGUUUCUUUAUGUAUAAUUUUGUAUACAUAUUGUUUUUUUCAUCAUAGCAUGUUUUUUAUAUUUAUGCUUUGUGUAAGUAAAAUGUUCAUAAAUCAUUCUUAUCUUUAAACUAAAAAUGUAUUUUGAUAUGCAAAAUGUCUGUAUGAUUUCAGUUGCCAGAGGUGAGUACCAUUACAGUUGAAAAGUUAGUUUUGUUUAGUUAAAGUUUUGGUUCACAGUUCUGUUUAUUAUUUGGCAAAAUUUACAUGUAUGCAUUGAGUCUUGAUUUCAGCUCGAUUGUGGACUGAAGAAGAUUGCCAGCAGAGGGAUUGGAUACAAAAUACAAAGUAAGUACUGAGUUUCUUACUAAAAGUUUUGAGUUGUAUUCAUUGUGUGUUAAUAUGCUAUGAUUGCUAUGAACAUGACUUUUGUAUUUCAGCGAAGACAACAUAGGUAAGUAAAAUUGUUAUCUGUUUCAAGUUUACUGUUAUAGUUCAAUAUUGUGUUUAUAAAUUGUAAGUUGUACAAACACAUUCAAAAGUUUCUGAUCAUGCUUUCAAUUUCAUUUCAGCCCUACUACAAGACGAGUGUUUUCUACUACUAGACGUGUCAGGUUUACUUCCAGGCGAGCAGUGACAACAAGGCGCCUUUGUGGAAACAGCAAAACAAACAACUCUACUGCAAGACGAGCAGUAACAGCAAGGCGCCUGAACAUGCAACACAAUAAAAAAAAUGCCAAUAUCCAAACCUUGAUGUGGACACCGAGUAGUCAAUACAUACGUGUGGCGUAUAGCUGCGACAAAACCGUGGGUCCAUCGCACCGAUAACUUGAACAUUGGCCCGUGUAUGGACAUCAGUGCAACUUUGUGAAUCCAUGUAACUUUGUGAAUCCAUGUAACAUUGCGAAUGUGUGUCGAUCGAAAAAUGUGUACAUUCUGCACUGAAACGAACUCGGUGUUGCAAGUGGCAAGUGUUGACAGUGUGUAUGUUUAUGUUUAUGUUUUUACAUGAAAAAUAAAGGAGAUUGUUGUUUUAUUGUGCUGGCCAGCAAUAUUGAUGUAUUGAUGUAUGUGUUUGUGUUUAAACUAUGCAAUACCAAAAUCAAACAAAAAAUAAACAUUAACAGUCAUUAACUGUGUUUGGGCGGCCGAGGGGUUUAAGACUCCACAAGUGUGAAGCGCACUGAUAGCACUUGGGGGUAAACACCUCGGUAUUUCGGUGCUAAAAUGUUUUCACGGUGCUUAUUUUGACGCACUGUUAGAACUACCAACCAGUAAAUGAUUGCUUGAUUUAUAAAACAAAUAUUCAGUCUCUACUUUGGCACAAGAGACUCUAAGUAUCAAAUACCAACAAUUUAGACGCAGACAAUCACAUGGUGGUACACCAGUCCGAAUAUACUCAUUGCUCUAGCCAGGAUUGCAAAUUACUUGUGUUGACUAGCAAGGCUCCCUAGUAACGGAGCAGUGUUACUGGCGUUUUUUGGGUCGAUAGUGCUUAGGUGAGGUUUUGCUCGAAUCGGGAGCGGGUCACUCGCUUGGGCGAGUUAGUUUUCGCUCGUAGUUUCCAAUCUGGCUAGAUCAAUGUAAGGUUGUUUUGACUGCUAUUUGGCAAGCAGAAAGACAACAGCGGUUAAUUGACUGAGUAUGGGCGACCGAGGUAUGUAGGUGUCAAUAGACCGACUCCACAAGUUGCGAAGCGAACCGAUAGCACUUGAGGGGAAACGCCUCGGUUUUCGGUUCUAACAUGUGUUAUCCAUGCUGUCGUUAUACUCUGGCAAGGCUCCUCAAUCUAUCGCGAGGGACACUCAUUAUUGCCCGCAAGCUUUAGAACCUGACGUGGGUCGAUGCGUAUGCGAGUCCGAGGACGCGAUGGCAUUUGAUAAGGCUACCAACCGGUUGAUAACACGCAUUGUUCAAAUUGUUAGGUUUAAGUCUGCUAGGGCUGGGGUGGGAA